GCUGCCUAUCAUUUGCUUUUCCUCAUGAGCUCCUGGACCACCUCAUAUCACCAGCACCCUCUACCCAAGGUCCUGGAGCCAACACUGGAGUAAAAGAGCACAAGAGAGCUCCUUAGAGGUGGAAGGAUACCCUCUGAGGUCAAAUCAUUGGGCUUGUGGCCAUGAGACCACAGACUUUGCCUGGCUUCCAGUGACUGUCGGAGAUGACCUGUGGAGUGCACCGCCUGUACUUGGACAUCACUGUCUUUUUGGAUCCAUACCCGUCAUCCUUGGAAUUUCCCCUGUAUCCAAACCUGUUCCUGAUACAGGUAUAACCCUAAGGAAUAUCUUGGAUGUCUUCACGGGGCUUAUGACUUACUCUGAGGUUUGCAAAAUAGAGGCCCCCAGCUGAGCAAAGACAGGGCUGCAGCGCCGAGGGAACAGCUGCCGGACCCACCGGAGAGGCCUCCUGGAGCACGCCGGGACCCCCUCCACCCCCUGGCUUUGGCUGCAUCCAUGGCUAGUUUGCCUGAACUAUAUCUGAGCCACUGAGAGUAUUUAUUAAGCAGAGAAUAAUUUUGAGUUUCACUUUUAUAACUUUUGUUUCAAAAGUUGUUUUGGAUAAUUUAAUGAAAUGACUGUAAACCAGAAUUCCCCUUUUCAUUAUUUCUUUGUGUCGAUAUAAAAAGAGUUGAUGAUUUUAAAAGCCAGUGAGAUGUCCCUGUCUGUGGAUGUCAGCGGGAGCGUGGAGUCUGACGCCUUUCUCUGGUGGCUGUCCAGGAAGAUUGCCCCAGCUUGCACUCCCUUUUGGCGGGUUCCAGAGCCUUCCAUUUGAAAGGAGCAUCUCUCCCCACUCUGCCCCACCCAGCACCAGCUCUUCU
rnacentral:lncRNA from 1 species